UUUGCUUUAAUAUCUGCCUGCUAUACGAGCUUCCGCCUGCUGAACUUAUCAGCUGUUCUGCUGCACGCUCAUCUUCAUUGUAGUGAUAACUUGGAGUGAAAGGUUAACGCUCCAAACUCUGACCAUCACAUGACUCUGCCCAUGUUUACAAGAGAACAGUGACCUAUUCAUUUACCUCCAAAACCUUUGUUUAUUAUCUACGAGUGGUAAGAUAACGAAAGGAUGCGACAGAGACCUUCUGUUGUUUGAGUACGGUGAGAACUCUGUGAUGUACUCAAACAUGGCCGCUUAUCACAAAAGAACUCAAGUUUUAGCAGACACAAAGUCUGGCAGAAUGGGUUCUGCUAAGUGAGAGAAGGGCCUUUGAAGCUGGAUUUCCUGCUGAGUUUAUUACAUACAUUUGCAWCAAAGACCUUGUUUACAUACCACCUCAUUUAUGGUGUCACAGUGCCCCAAAAGACUGGUUUUAUAAUUACACUGUGAAUGAAUGUUUUUUUUGUAUUCAUCAUUUUGAGCAAAGAAAAAAAGAAUCAUUGUAUUUUCUACGUGACUCAAUCAUGUGAACAAUGUACUUUAAUCACUUCACAAACUAUCUUAUUUCUGUGUGUGUUUSUAAUCAAUUCUAAGGAUGGCAGUCUGUGAAAAGAAAAACAGGUCACGUGAUCAUGACUAGCCAAUCAUGAGUUUAGGAGCCUGAACAAUAGAUUUAGUUUGGCAGCAAGCAGAAGUCAGUCGAAAAGAAGCAGUCGAUGAGAAGAGAUGGAUGACUAAAGCUAGCUCCAUUUUCCCUCAGGGAUAAUUUUAUUUUAUUUUAUUUUUUUAUUUUAUUUUAUUUUGUAACUUUAAAGUUGUUAAUUUGCCUUUAUAACGAGGUACUGGAUUCAUGCAGGAAGCGAGCUUGUUCAGAACUCUUUUCAAUCAACAAGUGACCAGAGGCAAACAUGAUUCCAGCUUGGAGCUGAACCCAGCCACUUCGAGAAGUCCAGUUGUACCCACAAGGGACCGCUCUGAAACCAGCGACGCCGCUGGCACAGCUCGAUCAAGCUCCGGUACCCAGGGACAACGAUAAGACAUCUGACUGGUAGGACAGACGUAAUUUACUCUGUUAUCCGGUGGCGUGCUCAGCUGAGGUGGUGAAACUUCUGGAUCGUUAAGUUGGUAGUAAAGAAGGUUCGCCCUGAGCUUAAUUCAGGCAUAAUCCACAUCCCCUUUUAUUGAUGAAUUAACAACUUCCUUUUUAUUAACUUUCAAGCUUCUUAUAAUCUUUGUGAGCGUAGAGUAGAAAAGUGACUCAGGUGAAGGAUACUAGUUAUUAUUAUUGUGACUGACGUUAACGUUAUUAUUAGACUUAAGGUUUGAUGAUAAUUGUCUCUGUCUGCCCAAAAUAAUCUGUAUUGUCACCUCUGAAUCAUUUUUAAUAUAGGUUAUAUUAUGAAA